GUGGGAAGUGCUCCGAGUUCAAGGCUGAGAAUGGCAGGCAGAGCCGCGUCUGCCGAGAGUGUUUCCUGACGCAGCAGGCGGUACCUGAGAGCCCCAGCCCUGAGGCGGCAGCCGAGGGGCCCAAGCACAGCACGGAGAAGCCAGUGGCUGUGGACCACCAGCCCAGCCUGCUCUGCAGCUCCCUGCAGGUGUCCGAUAACGGUGUGGCCUGGAGCGAGGUGUGGGCCACCAUCCCGGCAUCAGACCCCCUGGAGCUGGUGCUGCACCUGCAGGGAGACAGCCAGGACGGCUGGCCGCCACGCACCAUCCCCCUCUCUGGCUGCACGGUGAGCGUGUCGGACCCCGUGGAGGGGCCGGACACCAGGCAUGUGUGGCGGCUGCAGCAGGCCCAGCGGUCCUUGUACCUGAGCGCCCUGUCAGCGGACCUGCGGCAGCACUGGCUGGACGCCCUGAGCGCGGCUGCCCGCGGGGACCCGGGCCUGGCGGCCCCGUGAGCAGAGCCUCGGCCAGGUGUCCCAGCUCUGUGGCCCCCCCAGCAGGGCCGGUGCCCACCCAGGAGGUGGUGUCGGAGGCUUGGUGCUGGUGUGCGGAGCUCCCGGACUGCUGGGGGCGGACAGGCCACGGGGCACUUGACCCUGGAGGGACCUCCCUGAAGCAGAGGAACAGGCCCACGCACCCAGCAUGUGUCCACGAAGAGCCCCAGCAGCGUGGCCUGGAGCGGGGUGCAGACGGACUGUCCGGUGCGGGGCAGCCAGCUCCGGAAGGCAGAAGGAGUGUCCUGGGGGUGCCCGGGGACCCUGGUGGAGGUCUGCAGCCAAGCUUUUCCUCCCCGCCACCCGCCUCAUGCCAUCUGUACCGCGUGAGCCGAACUGUGACUGGCCCCGGACCCCACCUCCCUCCUCUGCCGGCUCCUGGCCCCACAGCCCGCCUCCCUGUUUGGAGGGGCCAGUGGUCGCCAGGGGCUUCCCUGACCUCCCUGAGAAACUCCGCGGAGGCAGCAGAGGCCUGCCCCUGCGUCACGUGGGGGCGGAGAUCUGUGUCUGUGUCCCUGGCCCGCCGCGGGCGGUGCUGGUCUGCGAAAAUAAA